CCUACGGGUGGCUGCAGUGGGGAAUAUUGGACAAUGGGCGCAAGCCUGAUCCGGCAAUACCGCGUGUGUGAAGAAGGCCUUAGGGUUGUAAAGCACUUUCAAUGGGGAGGAAAACCUACCGGUCAAUACCCGGUAGCUUGACAUUACCUGUAGAAGAAGCACCGGCUAACUCCGUGCCAGCAGCCGCGGUAAUACGGAGGGUGCAAGCGUUAAUCGGAGUUACUGGACGUAGAUCGUUCGUAGAGGUGUCAAAGCCCCGGGCUUAACCUGGGAACUGCAUUUGAAACUGGCGGACUAGAGUUGAGUAGAGGGGAGUGGAAUUUCAGGUGUAGCGGUGAAAUGCGUAGAUAUCUGAAGGAACACCAGUGGCGAAGGCGACUCCCUGGACUCAAACUGACGCUGAGGUACGAAAGCGUGGGUAGCAAACAGGAUUAGAUACCCCAGUAGUC
rnacentral:rRNA from 1 species